AGAGUUUGAUCAUGGCUCAGGACGAACGCUGGCGGCGUGCCUAAUACAUGCAAGUCGAGCGAACCACUUCGGUGGUUAGCGGCGGACGGGUGAGUAACACGUGGGCAACCUGCCUGUAAGACUGGGAUAACUUCGGGAAACCGGAGCUAAUACCGGAUAAUCCUUUUCCUCACAUGAGGAAAAGCUGAAAGACGGUUUCGGCUGUCACUUACAGAUGGGCCCGCGGCGCAUUAGCUAGUUGGUGAGGUAACGGCUCACCAAGGCGAUGAUGCGUAGCCGACCUGAGAGGGUGAUCGGCCACACUGGGACUGAGACACGGCCCAGACUCCUACGGGAGGCAGCAGUAGGGAAUCUUCCGCAAUGGACGAAAGUCUGACGGAGCAACGCCGCGUGAGCGAUGAAGGCCUUCGGGUCGUAAAGCUCUGUUGUUAGGGAAGAACAAGUAUCGGAGUAACUGCCGGUACCUUGACGGUACCUAACCAGAAAGCCACGGCUAACUACGUGCCAGCAGCCGCGGUAAUACGUAGGUGGCAAGCGUUGUCCGGAAUUAUUGGGCGUAAAGCGCGCGCAGGCGGUCCUUUAAGUCUGAUGUGAAAGCCCACGGCUCAACCGUGGAGGGUCAUUGGAAACUGGGGGACUUGAGUACUGAAGAGGAAAGUGGAAUUCCACGUGUAGCGGUGAAAUGCGUAGAGAUGUGGAGGAACACCAGUGGCGAAGGCGACUUUCUGGUCAGUAACUGACGCUGAGGCGCGAAAGCGUGGGGAGCAAACAGGAUUAGAUACCCUGUAGUCCACGCCGUAAACGAUGAGUGCUAAGUGUUAGGGGGUUUCCGCCCCUUAGUGCUGCAGCUAACGCAUUAAGCACUCCGCCUGGGGAGUACGGCCGCAAGGCUGAAACUCAAAGGAAUUGACGG
rnacentral:rRNA from 1 species